UACGGGGGGGGCAAGCGUUGUUCGGAAUUACUGGGCGUAAAGGGCUCGUAGGUGGCCAACUAAGUCAGACGUGAAAUCCCUCGGCUUAACCGGGGAACUGCGUCUGAUACUGGAUGGCUUGAGUUCGGGAGAGGGAUGCGGAAUUCCAGGUGUAGCGGUGAAAUGCGUAGAUAUCUGGAGGAACACCGGUGGCGAAGGCGGCAUCCUGGACCGACACUGACACUGAGGAGCGAAAGCCAGGGGAGCGAUCCGG
rnacentral:rRNA from 1 species